GACGAACGCUGGCGGCGUGCUUAACACAUGCAAGUCGAGCGGUAAGGCUCCUUCGGGAGUACACGAGCGGCGAACGGGUGAGUAACACGUGAGUAAUCUGCCCCUCACUUCGGGAUAAGCCUCGGAAACGAGGUCUAAUACCGGAUACGACCACUUCUUGCAUGAGAUGGUGGGGGAAAGUUUUUAGGUGGGGGAUGUGCUCGCGGCCUAUCAGCUUGUUGGUGGGGUAAUGGCCUACCAAGGCCUCGACGGGUAGCCGGCCUGAGAGGGUGACCGGCCACACUGGGACUGAGACACGGCCAGACUCCUACGGGAGGCAGCAGUGGGGAAUAUUGGACAAUGGGCGGAAGCCUGAUCCAGCAACGCCGCGUGAGGGAUGACGGCCUUCGGGUUGUAAACCUCUUUCAGUACCGACGAAGCGAAAGUGACGGUACCCAAAGAAUAAGCACCGGCUAACUUCGUGCCAGCAGCCGCAGUAAAAC
rnacentral:rRNA from 1 species